AGCAGCCGCGGUAAUUCCAGCUCCAAUAGCGUAUAUUAAAGUUGUUGCAGUUAAAAAGCUCGUAGUUGAAUUUCGGGGUUCUACCGUUGGUCGGGCUUUGUCUGUACUGGCGUGUAGAAUUUCUACCUUCUGGGGAACCGUCAUGUUAUUAAUUUAACGUGGUGGGAAACCAGGACCUUUACCUUGAAAAAAUUAGAGUGUUCAAAGCAGGCUUAUGUCUGAAUACAUUAGCAUGGAAUAAUAAAAUAGGACGGUGGUCCUGUUUUGUUGGUUUCUGAAUCACCGUAAUGAUUAAUAGGGAUAGUUGGGGGCAUUAGUAUUCAAUUGUCAGAGGUGAAAUUCUUGGAUUUAU
rnacentral:rRNA from 1 species